CACGUUUCCUGCCGUUUGGAAUAAAACCGGCCCUUACAGGAGCGUGGGGCUGCAGUGUGCGUACCAGACCCAACGCCUUGGGGCUUGCCCUUGGGCGUACGAAGCAAACCAUAGCUCCGUUGCCCUCCCAGCCUCAGCGUCCACCCAGGUGCGUUCAGGUCCGUUCUGUCACCACUGCUGCCUGCUUUGGGGGCGGGGCUUCAGCGGCAGGCGGGCUCGGCGCUGCAGAAGGCGGCUACCCGCGGCGUGGGUCAGAGGCUGCUGGGGGAGACCCGCCUGCACCGACCCAGCUCCCCAGCCAGCCCCCGGGCCCAGCCCGGCUGCCGCUUCCCCGUCUCCGGGCUCUGGAGCACUGCCAGCACUGAGCUCACCCGGAAAGGAAGUGCAGGCAGUGGGGAGGAAGUGCCUGACUGCAGACAGUAACAUGAUGCAGCUACAGCAGCAGGACUGUUUUUCUUCUGAAAGACAGCCCGGUAGCCUCGGAAGAAUUCAUCAGGAGAAGAAACUUUGUAUGAGAAAAAGGAAAGGUGCCUCAGGUAAAAGAAAACCUCAAGCAGAUAGUUCAUGGGAUUGUUCUACUAAAGUCUUAAGCCCUGAUCCUGCAACAUGACCAUAAGGAUGGACCCCUGCACUCACGGUGAGCCCCCCGACUUCAGUGGGACUCUGUAUGGUGCCAGGGGGGUUGUGUGGCUCAUUCUCUUUGCAGGAUUGGAGGCUUCAAGAAGAAAGAGUUGUGUAUAUCAUGACAAAUAUGGGGAGUAAUACAAAGAGUAAAAGAGGAAAAAAGUGAUGUUGAAUUAAGGCAAUAUGGAGUUUCUUUACUUGUUUAAAACUUUGCCAACUACCAAAUGCUUAUUUCUGCACUGUAGUGUUUAGACUAACAGUUACAUCAGUAAAAAAAAAUAAAGGUAUAAAUUCAGCUAUUUGCUUCUACUUCCAGUUAAGUUUGGUACACAAAACAAAGCUUCAUACAUUGUUACCAUGUUGUGUGCAGAAUGGAUGAAAUAUGCUUAAAAACAAACUGAUGCUUCAUACAAACUUUGAAUUCCUUUCCAUUUAGAGACCUAACCGUUACUUAUUUCUUGUAUUUUUCUUCCCUCAUUUUUUAAUUGUUAGAGACACUUACAUAAAAACAGGAGUUUUGUUAUGAGUUCAUCAGUAAUAAUCCUCUGGAUGCUUUCAUAAAUUUGUUGGGGGCAAAACUGGCUUCCAUUGUAAAGCCAGUUACAGUGAAAAAUUGGUUUAGUCUGAAAAUGCCAGGGUUCCUAUGAAGCUGAAAGAGAAUAUUUUUUUCAAAUUUGAAGAAAACUAAUCAAACUGUUGCUGGGUUACAAAUCGUUUACAAAAAUUACCCUGAAAAGAAAGUUUGCCUCUUGUCUAACAAUUGCCUUCCUCUCACUCACAAAUGGCCUCUUCAUGCUUUCCAUGUAAUUACAUUUUCCUUAAACUCAUGCACCACUUUGUCUGAAGAAAGUAGUUUGUAAGUAAACAAAAUCUUUUUUUUUUUUUUUUUUUUGCUGUGGAUAGUGUUAGGUCCACUUCUGCUCCCAUUGAUUUUAAUAAGUUGUGGGUUUGAUUCUAAUCCCAUUAGUACCUAUGAGAAUUUUUUGCCCUUGAUUUCAGUGGGAAGCAGAGUUGGGCAUGAUACGCAUGCGUGUGUGUAUGACUAUGUUGCAGUUUAGAGAGAACAUAAAGGCGUUAUUCUAUUAGACAGCUAACAGAGUUCUCCCUUUAGUUUGAGGCCUGUACUUCUGGCGCUAAAGGGCCAGUGUUCCAGUCUUGGCUCUGCAGAGGUGUAAUUUAUUAUGGGGCUCAAUCAUUUUGAUAUAUUUAUUUUACACUUUCUACCAACCUUGGGUAGAAGGCAGGCUGAGUUGCGCACAGUGGUAAACAUAUGACUGGCUUAAUUAGAACUUAUAUAGAACUCUCGCACUUUGCCAGAUAUGCUUGAAUGAGCCAAGCAUCUUAGCUACCUUUAUCAUCUUGGAUAGUACUACUCAUUCUUUCAAUUUAAUAAUCAGGUGAUCUCUCCAUCCCACGUACCUAAUUUAAUAAUUAGGUGAUCUGUCCAUCCUACUUAUUUAAUAUUUUAAAUAAAUUGUGUCUUCAUUUACCAUCACACCAUU